rnacentral:rRNA from 1 species
GGGCUUCGGCUCGACUCUCCCACCCUUUGUGAACGUACCUCUGUUGCUUUGGCGGCUCCGGCCGCCAAAGGACCUCCAAACUCCAGUCAGUAAACGCAGACGUCUGAUAAACAAGUUAAUAAACUAAAACUUUCAACAACGGAUCUCUUGGUUCUGGCAUCGAUGAAGAACGCAGCGAAAUGCGAUAAGUAAUGUGAAUUGCAGAAUUCAGUGAAUCAUCGAAUCUUUGAACGCACAUUGCGCCCCUUGGUAUUCCGGGGGGCAUGCCUGUUCGAGCGUCAUUACAACCCUCAAGCUCUGCUUGGAAUUGGGCACCGUCCUCACUGCGGAGGCGCCUCAAAGACCUCUGCGGUGGCUGUUCAGUCCUCAAGCGAAGUAAAAUACACCUCGCUUUGGAGUGGCUGGCGUCGCCCGAAAGACGAAAAUUUCGAGGUUUUCUGGAGGU